rnacentral:rRNA from 1 species
UACGUAGGUGGCAAGCGUUGUCCGGAUUUAUUGGGUUUAAAGGGUGCGUAGGCGGUCCCAUAAGUCAGUGGUGAAAUACUCUAGCUUAACUAGAGGGGUGCCAUUGAUACUGCGGGACUUGAGCAGAGUUGAAGUGGGCGGAAUUGACGGUGUAGCGGUGAAAUGCUUAGAUAUCGUCAAGAACACCGAUAGUGAAGACAGCUCACUAAGCUCAAACUGACGCUGAGGCACGAAAGUGUGGGGAUCAAACAGG